GGUUGCAGUUGACCUCCUCCUGGCCACCCACGAUGCUGAAGCCAAGGCUGCCCGACAUGCUCCGUCGCAGCACGAUGUCCUUGCAGCUGUACAGAUGCCUGUGGGAGCAUGUGGAAGGGGAUGAAGAAGAAAUGGGCCAAAGCAUAAGGGAGCACUAACAAACCUGGGCAGCUGCAGCCACGACACCCACAGCGGGGAGUAGUCGUUGUUGUUGGGCGGCGGGCUCUUGGUGCUGCUGUCGGGCGAGGGCGCAAGGCAGGGCGGCAGCUCGCCCUCCGGCAGACCUUCGUCGGGGGGGCGCAUCUCCAGGACUUUGAGCACCACGGGCGACGAGGUGUUCUUCAGGUUGGCCACGGCCUCGCUCCGCGUCACCCCCGUCAGAUCCACGCCGUUCACGUUGAGCAAGAUGUCGCCUACGGGGCGGGGGGCGGAGACAAAGGGAAAGUGAAAUAAUGAAGAAGAAAAUCAUUUGUGGCGGCAUCAGAGAGAAACAGGAAAAGCCAAAGACUUCAACAGCUCCUUGAGAGUGUUCUCAUUUUUGCUCUCCACCGACCUGUAUAAGCAGAGCAGCGUGUUCCGGGG